GACGAACGCUGGCGGCGUGCUUAACACAUGCAAGUCGAGCGGAAAGGCCCUUCGGGGUACUCGAGCGGCGAACGGGUGAGUAACACGUGAGUAAUCUGCCCUGUGCUUUGGGAUAGCCACCGGAAACGGUGAUUAAUACCGGAUAUGACACGCCCACGCCUGUGGUGUGUGUGGAAAGUUUUUCGGCGCAGGAUGUGCUCGCGGCCUAUCAGCUUGUUGGUGGGGUAAUGGCCUACCAAGGCUUCGACGGGUAGCCGGCCUGAGAGGGUGACCGGCCACACUGGGACUGAGACACGGCCCAGACUCCUACGGGAGGCAGCAGUGGGGAAUAUUGGACAAUGGGCGGAAGCCUGAUCCAGCAACGCCGCGUGAGGGAUGACGGCCUUCGGGUUGUAAACCUCUUUCAGCACCGACGAAGCGAGAGUGACGGUAGGUGCAGAAGAAGGACCGGCCAACUACGUGCCAGCAGCCGCCGUAACAC
rnacentral:rRNA from 1 species